ensembl:snRNA U6 U6 spliceosomal RNA
GCGUUCACUUUGAAAACGCAUAUACGAAAAUUAGAAUGAUACUGAGAAGAUUCGUAUGGCCCCUGUGCAAGGAUGACAUGCAAAUUCGUGAAGAAAACGGGAAAAAGCAAUAUUGAUUUUU